rnacentral:lncRNA from 1 species
CUCUCUUUAACUACCGCCUUAUGUGGAAUGUAGAAUUCCUUGUUGCUAGGGACAUCCGGUGCACUCUCGACAAUCCCCUCGUUGAGUUGUUCUCGGAUGAUGGAAUCGUAUUCGGUGGUAAGGCCGUUUUGGUGUAGUCGCUUCGUGAGGUGGUUCAAACGUCGUAGACUACCUUGUUUGUUGUUUGGCAAACUUGCAUGGUUUCCUCGCCAAGGGAGCCCCGUUUCGUACCAUCCCGCUGGAUCUCUCGUUAAUUGCUCUUUAAAUUCGGAGAACACCGUCUCUUGAUCGUGUGUUGGAGAGUCAGCUAACCCGAGUACGUCUAGACGACAGAGUUCCUCGUAGUCUGUCUGGCUGGUUUGAGUCAUAAGCAUAGUACUUCUGUCAAAUUCCUCCCCCGGUGACAUUAUAAACCAGCCCAGUUUAGUGUAUUCUGCGACAGGUUCACCCUCUUUCCCGACGUGAGGCUUCGUUUCCGUCUUGAUCCGAGCGUACUCUCCCCCACUCAACACUACGUGAACCGGUAAACUGGCUUUUUUGUCGUCGUCGAUUAUUUUUACGCCGCUAAGGUGUGAAUAACGCGCGAUUAUCGCUUCGUAAUUAGGAUUGUCUAUCGUUAAUAGUUUAUCCUUAUUUACCUUGGUUAGUUUGACAUCCAUCUGGCAUUUGUUAUCAACAGAUGUCAUCACCGUCUCAUAAGUUUCAAAUCUUUCGACACACGAUCCCAUUAACAUGUCAACACGUUUCGUCUUCACUUCGCAAGGUUUCAGGUGUAAUAAAUCAAUUAGCUUGGCGGAAGCAUACGAACUCCCGGCGCCAGAGUCAAUUAAUGCUCUCACGGUAAUCCCAUUAACCUUGACCACAACUACGGGAAACAAUCCUUCACCACUCACGCU